UACGUAGGGUGCAAGCGUUGUCCGGAAUUAUUGGGCGUAAAGAGCUCGUAGGUGGCCUGUCGCGUCGGCUGUGAAAACUCGGGGCUCAACUCCGAGCUUGCAGUCGAUACUGGCAGGCUAGAGUUCGGCAGGGGAGACUGGAAUUCCUGGUGUAGCGGUGAAAUGCGCAGAUAUCAGGAGGAACACCGGUGGCGAAGGCGGGUCUCUGGGCCGAUACUGACACUGAGGAGCGAAAGCGUGGGGAGCGAACAGG
rnacentral:rRNA from 1 species